rnacentral:SRP_RNA from 2 species
GCCAGAUGUGAUAGCAUGGACCUGUAAUCCCAGCUAUCCAGGAGGCUGAGGCAGGAGGAUUUCUUGAGCCCUGGAGUUCUGGGCUGUAGUGCACUAUGUGGAUCGGCUAUCCACACUCAGUUUGGCAUCAAUAUGGUGACCUCCUGGGAGCAAGGGACCACCAGGUUGCCUAAAGAUGGGCAAACUGGUCCGGGUCAAAAAUGGAGCAGGUCAAAACUUCUAUGCUGAUCAGUAACAGGAUUGUGCCUAUGAAUGAUCACUGCAUUCAAGCCUGGGCAACAUAGCGAGACUCUGGUCUCUU